GAAGCUAACGCGUUAAACGUGCCGCCUGGGAAGUACGGCCGCAAGGUUAAAACUCAAAGAAAUUGACGGGGGCCUGCACAAGCGGUGGAGUAUGUGGCUUAAUUCGAUGCAACGCGAAGAACCUUACCUGGCCUUGACAUGCACAUAGUAGAAGCCUGAAAGGGUGACGAGGUAGCAAUACCAGUGUGCACAGGUGCUGCAUAGCUGUCGUCAGCUCGUGUCGUGAGAUGUUGGGUUAAGUCCCGCAACGAGCGCAACCCCUGUGUCCUGUUGCCACCCCUUAACUGGGAGCACUCUGGACAGACUGCCUCGCUUCAACGAGGAGGAAGGUGGGGAUGACGUCAAGUCAGUAUGGCCCUUACGGCCAGGGCUGCACACGUACUACAAUGCCCGGCACAAAGGGAAGCAAGACCGCAAGGUGGAGCAAAUCCCAGAAAACCGGGCCCAGUUCAGAUUGUCGUCUGCAACUCGACGACAUGAAGCUGGAAUCGCUAGUAAUGGCGCAUCAGCUACGGCGCCGUGAAUACGUUCCCAGGCCUUGUACACACCGCCCGUCACAUCAUGAAAGCCGCUUGUACCCGAAGUCGCCCCUUAAAAGGUGCCGAAGGUAUGGGUGGUGAUUGGGAUGAAGUCGUAAUCAAGGUAACCGUA
rnacentral:rRNA from 1 species